UUUGAUUCUUCCUUUUCCUCCAAGACACCAAUGGCCACAUUAUCUUCAGACUGGCCGCUUGCAUUACCAGCUUCCUCCGUCUGUGUAGGCUCUUCAGUUUCAACUAGAUUCAUGGACAAAUCCUCUGGCUGAACCGAAACAUUAAUACCGCUGGCUUCACCAUCGGUCAUGUUUAUUUCUUCUGGUGUGUUUUCGGCCUUCGUCAUGUUUAUCUCUUCCGGUGUGUUCUCGGCCUUGGUUUCUUUCUCGGAACUUAAUGCUGAAGACAUAUGCUCUUGUUGAUCAUUUGAUUCUUCUUUCUCUUCCAAGACACCAGCCACAUUAUCUUCAGACUGGUCGCCUGCUUUACCAACUUCCUCCAUCUGUGUGGACUCGUCAGUUUUAACUAGAUUCCUGGACAGAUCCUCAGGCUCAACAGAAACAUUUAUGCCGCUGGCUUCACCACCAAUCAUGUCUGUAUCAUCCGAUGGGUUCUCAGCCUUGUUCUCUUCCUCUGAACUUAAUGCUGAAGACAAAGGCUCUCGUUGAUCCUUUGAUUCUUCUUUUUCCUCCA
rnacentral:lncRNA from 1 species